ACGCUGGCGGCAUGGCUAAGACAUGCAAGUCGAACGGACUUUAUGAUUGGGUAACCUUGAAUAAAGUUAGUGGCGAAAGGGUGAGGAAUAGAUAGGAACGUGCCUUUGGCUUCGGAAUAGCGUCCCGAAAGGGGCGGUAAUACCGGAUAACGUCUACGGACCAAAGAUUUAUCGGCCUUAGAGCGGCCUAUCUCCUAUCCAGCUUGUUGGUGGGGUAAUGGCCUACCAAGGCAACGACGGGUACCGGGACUGACAGGUUGGCCCGCCACAUCGGGACUGAGACACUGCCCGGACCUCCACGGAGGGCUGCAGUAACGAAUAUUGGGCAAUGGGCGAAAGCCUGACCCAGCAAUGCCGCGUGUAGGAUGAAGCCCCUCGGGGUGUAAACUACUGUCAGGGGUUAGAAAGCUACGGUUGAUCAACCCCACAGGAAGUCACGGCUAACCUUCGUGCCAGCAGCCGCGGUACUACGAACGUGGCCAGCGUUAUUCGGAAUUACUGGGCUUACAGCGCACGCAGGCGGAAUAUUUACCGUCUCGUGAAAUCCCCCGGCUUAACCGGGGAAUUGCAGGGCGAACUGGUAUUCUUGAGGCAAGUAGGGGUGCAUGGAACUCUUGUUGGACCGUUGGAAUGCGUAGAUAUCAAGAGGAACGCCGAUGGUGAAGACAGUGCACUGGGCUUGUCCUGACGCUGAGGUGCGAAAGCGUGGGGAGCGAACGGGAUUAGAUACCCCGGUAGUCCACGCCGUAAACGAUGCCUACUAGGUCGUGGUUGUUCUGACACACUCACGGCCGAAGCAAAAGUGUUUAGUAGGCCGCCUGGGGAGUACGGUCGCAAGGCUAAAACUCAAAGGAAUUGACGGGGGCUCACACAAGCGGUGGAGCAUGUGGAUUAAUUCGAAGCAACGCGCAGAACCUUACCUGGGUUUGACAUGUAUGGAUGCCUGCUGUGAAAACAGUUAGGUUGCCUUCGGGUGAAACUUACACAGGUGCUGCAUGGCUGUCGUCAGCUCGUGUCGUGAGAUGUCGGGUUAAGUCCUUUAACGAGCGAAACCCUUGCCGUUAGUUGCCAGCGGGUCAUGCCGGGGACUCUAACGGGACUGCCGGUGUCAAACCGGAGGAAGGUGGGGAUGACGUCAAGUCCUCAUGGCCUUUAUGCCCAGGGCCUCACACGUGCUACAAUGGGUGCUACAGAGCGACGCGAGACCGCGAGGUGGAGCUAAUCGCAAAAAAGCAUCCUCAGUUCGGAUUGCAGGCUGGCAAUUCGCCUGCAUGAAGUUGGAAUCGCUAGUAAUCGCGUAUCAGCUAUGACGCGGUGAAUGUGUUCCUGAGCCUUGUACACACCGCCCGUCAAGUGAUGGAAGCCGGGAGUACCCGAAGUCGGGUUGCUAACCUUUUGGGGGCGCCUGCCGACGGU
rnacentral:rRNA from 1 species